rnacentral:lncRNA from 1 species
GGCCUUUAAACUGUUGUAAAUCAGCAGUAGCCUCAGGGGUAUUAAAGGAUGUUACACCAGAAAUAAUUUCUGACAGAAUAGAAACACCAAUAAAGAUCAGAUUCACUAAAGAAGAAAGGUAAUUGAUUCUGAUACAGCAACAUCACUGUGUGGGUGGAAGAAGAGCGCCGGAAGAACUGAUCAUCUCACAAAAGGAAAAAGAACAUUGUUUUUACCACCAGAAAUGAUAUUUAAUUUUGUCUGGGCUUUUAGAGCUUAUUUAUUUGACACUAUUUC